CACCCACCUGGUGUCCCAGGUCUAAAUCAGGCCCUGUUUAGAGGGGAAUCACCCACCUGGUGUCCCAGGUCUAAAUCAGUCCCUGAUUAGAGGGGAAUCACCCACCUGCUGUCCCAGGUCUAAAUCAGGCCCUGAUUAGAGGGGAAUCACCCACCUGUUGUCCCAGGUCUAAAUCACUCCCAGAUUAGAGGAGAAUCACCCACCUGGUGUCCCAGGUCUAAAUCAGUCCCUGAUUAGAGGGGAAUCACCCACCUGGUGUCCCAGGUCUAAAUCAGGCCCUGAUUAGAGGGGAAUCACCCACCUGGUGUCCCAGGUCUAAAUCAGGCCCUGAUUAGAGGGGAAUCACCCACCUGGUGUCCCAGGUCUAAAUCAGUCCCUGAUUAGAGGGGAAUCACCCACCUGGUGUCCCAGGUCUAAAUCAGUCCCUGAUUAGAGGGGAAUCACCCACCUGGUGUCCCAGGUCUAAACCAGUCCC
ensembl:lncRNA